GCACAAAUUUGCUUGCUGGCAACCAUGUGAGAUGGGACUUUCUCCUCCUUGACUUUCGCCAUGAUUGUGAGGCCUUCCCAGCCAUGUGGAACUCUUCUUUCGUGGCAAUUUUCCCCCAGGAGGGAUUUCCCUGCAGUGGACCUCCUCCCCAGUGGUACCUUCAGCCAUCAGAACACCUCGCUUUAGAUCUGUGGGUCCCAAAUUUCAUCAAAUCCAAUGACCAUUUCUAUGAUCACUCAUUCUGGGGGCAGCCCUCUGGCAUGUAAUGAGCAGUCCUAUGGAGAGGCCCAUGUGACAGUAGCCAUGCGAGUGACACUGGAAGUGAAACCUGCAGCUCCAGUCAAGCCUUUAGAAGACUGCAGCCCUGGCUGACAGCUUGACAGCAAACUCAUGAGAGACUCUCAGCUUGAACAACUCAGCUAAACUGUUCCUGGGUUCCUGGUCCUCAAAAACUCUGGAAUUCUGUGAAGCACAUGACCUCAAGUCUUUGGAUAAAUGGAAACGCAGCUUAUGCCGGAAAGAUGGAAGGCUGGCUGUACUAAUAUCAGAAAUGGAAGAGGAGAGACAUCACUAGAGAUCCCAUGGAUAUUGAAAGGAUAAUAAAGGAGUAUUAUGAGCAUUGUUAUAUUUUAUGUCUCCUAUAAGCUGUAAAUUCCUACAUAGCAAGAAUUCUGUCUUACUCAUCCUUUAACAACUACUGUGUACCUUAUAAUGUUUCAUAAAAUAUUAUGAUUUGGUUUUAUUAUUCACAAAAGAAUGCUAUAAGAGGUGAAAAAUGGAGAGGCUAGAAAGCAUAAAAACAAGUUACAUCAGGUGGUAGAGCCUGGUUUAAGGGUCAAAGAUAAAAGAAGGGAAGGUUAAGGGCAGGGCUUUAGAGGGAGAGAGGAUAAACACAGUUUGAUUAAAUGGCUGAUUCAGCCGGGUGUGGCGGCUCAUGCGUAUAAUCCCAACACUUUGAAAGGCUGAGGCAGGAGGAUUGCUUGAGCCUAGGAGUUCAAGACCAGCCUGGGCAACAUGGAGAAAUCCUAUCUCUACCAAAAUACAAAUACAAAAACAAAAAUUAGCCAGGUGUGGUUAUAUACACCUGUAGUCCCAGCUGCUUGGGAGGCAGAGGUGGGAGGAUUGGUUAGGUCUAGGAAGUUGAGGCUGCAGUGACCUAUGAUUGCUCCACUGCACUCUAGCCUUGGUGACACAGAGAGAUCCUGUCUCAAAACAAAAACAAACAACAACAACAAAAAACAUAUAUAUAUAUAUAUGAGGUUUAUCCACAGUAAAGUUCAGUCUAGGGUUAAUAAAAGAUUCUAGGGUUCACUAAGACAAAGAGUAGUCGCAGUAGCAGAGCCUUGGGUGAAGCUAAGGUCCCCAGGAGAUCUGGGAUGUCUGUGAGGAACAGUGAGGCUUAGUCAUUCAGACAAGCCAGCAGAAGUGAAGUUUAGAGAAUGUGGAUGGGCCUCAGGCUCUAGACAUCAAAACAAACAGAUAGAAAAGGCAGAGUGUAGAAUCCAGACAGUGAGGCUCACAACAAGGUAUGCAAUUCUGCAUAAGCAGAUUUGAGGGGACACCAACUAUGGACUGAUGUAGAUAAAUAUUUCUGGUAAUUCCAGUUAGUGAUUCACUCUGAACUCACAUAGGAUAGUAUCUCUUCAAAGGCACUUGUGUUGUAAUUAAAUGCACACAUAAGACAUAAUGCUUAUUGAGCCCUUAGCAUGUACCACCCACUCUUAUGCAUACUAUAUGUUUAAACCAUUUAAACUCACACCAACCCCCUGGGGGUAGGUAGUAUUAUUAUCCCUGUUACAGAUAAGGAAAGUGAGAAGUAGGAGUUAAUUGGUCUCAUGAUCCCCUACAGGCUGGCCUUCCAGAAAAAGGAGGUAACUUGCCCCAGGAUACCCUGGAAACCAAUCAGAAUGAAUUGCCUUAAACUCUGGCUUGUAGCCCAAAGCAAGGCUUGCCCACAAGUCUUGCCAGUAUGUGGUUGAACAGAAAUUAGAAUCCAGACAGCCUGAGUCCUUUUCUUGCCAGGCAGGGGCUGGGGCUUCCCCAACCAUGAAAGUUCAGGUGGUAGAUCCUGCCACUGCUUUGCACACCAGCUCCCUGGUGCUAACCUCAACUGCCAGUGCUGAGCUGGAAGGAUAGGGCUGGAGGCAAACUCCUACCCCAUCAUGUUGCUGGUGUAUUCCAUCCUGGUAUUGGUCACACCAAGGAAGGGCCUGGACUUUCCUAAUCAUGCAGCUUAAAAGCAACACAAGGCAAGGCGGGGAGUCCGCUCUCCUGAAGUCUGACAUCCAGGAAGACCAGAUUGCUAUGUGCUGUCUUUGACUUACUUGGAGACUCACACACCUACACUAGUGCCCCCUUAUCUGAGGGGGAUGCAUUCCAAGACCCCCAGUGGAUGCUUGAAACCAUAAAUAAUACCAAACCCUACAUAUACUAUGUUUUUUCAUAUAUAUACCUAUGAUAAAAUUUAAUUUAUAUAAUAGAUUAGGCAGAGACUAAUAACAAUAACUAAUAAUAAAAUAGAAGAAUUAUAACAACAUACUAUAAUAAAAGUUAACGUGAACAUUGUUUGUCUCAAAAUAUCUUAUUGUAUGUAAUAUUUUUGGACUGUGGUUGUUCAUAGCAAGUGAAAACUCAGAUGGGGGAGGGUGGCAUACUGUAUUUAUUUUCCUGUAUCCAUUAGUGUUUCCCAGUGAACACUGCACCAGGAGGUUGGCCAUUUGUCUUUAUUUAUACAUCAAACUAAGGCAUGGAGAAUAAGAGCUUGGUAAGGUCAUAUAGCCAGGAGGUGGUUGAACUGAGAUUCAAACUGAGACAGUCUGAGUCCAAAUUCUACCACCUCUUGUGUGUGACAUUUAAUGGAUAGGUGGGCUUUUGUAACCAGUGUCUCUGCCUUUCUCCAUGAUUCACAGCACAGAAACUUGUGCAUACAUUCUCACUUGAUAUCUGAAUGACUGUAACAGUGAUGUAAAUUAACAAGGAAGGGAGAUAGCCCUGAUUUAAUUGGAAAUCACUGACAGAGCUCGCCCAGUAAACUCUCUACAAACAGAAUACAAAUGUUUUGUAUUUAAUUGCUAAAGUGUUUUAAAAUUGAACUCAAAUUAAUAAAUACUUAUUGUAUCUGUCAGUUAAACGAAACAACCAAUAAACAACCAACUCUGUUUUCUAAUCAAGAGGGACUGAUCCUUUAAAAAAAAUAGGGUUUAAAAAAGAUGAUAUGAUCAAUGUAAAAUUGGAUUAUAGACUUUUAGAGUCUUAAAAGAUGAGAAAAGAGAUAAAGAUGAAUAGAUAUGGAGUAACUAGGAUAAGACUCUCUCACAAACUGGACCUUAAACAGAUUUAGGAAGAAAUAUAGGAUUAGGAUAGAGAAAAAGAAGAGAAAGAAUUGCCUAUAGGCAUAAUAAAAAGCACAAGUGUAUCAAUCAACACAGGGUAUUGUGGACCAGUGAGGAAGGAUCAUGAUCUAGACUAGGGGAUUCAUGUUGGAAACAGUGAGACAAGUUAGAAAGGAUAGGAUGGGACAUAUUAUAUGGUUCCAAACAUAAUAAAUGAGCACUUGAGCUAGAAAGUAGUAUAAUGUUCACAGGUGGUAAAGAGGUAUAAUGAAAAAACUAUACUUCACAAAAAUUAGUGGUGUUCAGUGGGUUGGAGAGAAGACCAAUUAGAAGGUUAUCUGUGGAAUUACAACAACCCAGUGAAUUGAGCUGAUGGAGAGAGAUGCUCCUCCCACUACCAACACUCAAACAUAAGGCAAAAAUAUUUAUAGGUGAUGAGUAAUGAUGAAAAAACAAAAGAACAAAUGAUAGAUGACAUGAAGAAUGGGAGUAGGGAAGACCAUAUUUAAGACUCUGAGGUCAUUAAAUGAUGUAACAUGUUUACUAGCCCAAAAAUAUAUACUAAAAGAGUAGAAAGAAAACAAAAAAUUUCCAAAUCAGUAGCAAGGAUCAAGAAAACAAUCCAAAUGGAAGGAAAGAACAAUGUCCCUUGGAACAUAACAAUAGAACAUAAUAUGAACAGUACCUCCUUCUAUGUAGUGUAGAUAUUAAACAUAGGGUGGGAAGUACACAUAUCAAUUUCAAAAUAGUGGUUUAAUCUGAAAUUGUUAAACAGAGAGGGAGGGAAGCAAUAGAACUGAGAGAGCGUUCAAAAGCCUUUUGUUGUAUCUGUAGAGUCUUUUAUUUCUUAAAAAUACAAUCGUAUACCACAUGAUAACAUUUUGGCCAAUGGACUACACAUAUGACAUGGUCCCAUAAGAUUAUAGUACUGUCUUUUUACUGUACCUUUUCUAUGUUUAGAUAUAUUUACAUAUACAAAUACCACUGUUAAAUUGCCUACAGUAUUCAGCACAGUAACAUGCUGUGCAGGAUUGUAGCCUAGGAGCAAUGGGCUACACCAUGUGGCCUAGGUGUGUCGUAGGCUCUACUAUUUUGGUUUGUAUAAGUACACUCUAUGAUGUUCACACAAUGAUGAAAUCACCUAACGAUGCAUUUCUCAGAAUAAGUUUCUGUUGUUAAGCAACCCAUGAUUGUAUCUGAAGCAAAUAUCUAUA
rnacentral:lncRNA from 1 species